rnacentral:rRNA from 1 species
CGACAGCAUCACUCUAUUUUAGGACUGACACUGAAUCACUAAAGUGUGGGUAGCAAAACGGAUUAGAUACCCGAGUAGUCCACACCCUGAAUACUGAAUGUUACAAUUAAUAACCUAAUUAUUUAAACAUUCCGCCUCCAUAGUACUAUGGCAACGUAGAAAUGGAAUUGAUUUGGCGGGUUUUGACACCAGCAGUGGAGCAUGUGGUUUAAUUGGAUGGUACGCCCUAAAUCUUACCUUCUCUUACAUCUAUCUUCUUUUGAAGUUGUUUUGGUGUUGCAUGGCUGUUGU